GGUAACUCCCUAACGACGUUCGAUGUGAAGGGCUGCAAAAUAGGUAUUGGCAUUUGCUAUGAUAUUAGAUUCGAGGAAAUGGCACGCAUUUAUCGGAACAAAGGUUGCCAAAUGCUGAUAUAUCCAGCGGCAUUCAAUAUGACCACUGGACCACUGCACUGGUCAUUACUUCAGCGUUUCAGAGCGAAUGAUAAUCAAUUAUACGUUGCCUGCAUAUCACCGGCUCGUGUUCCUUAAGCAAGUUACGUCGCAUGGGGACAUACACAGUUGACCAAUCCCUGGGGAAAGAUUCUUUACGAUUUGGAAACUCAAGAGAAUAUGGCAGUCACCGAUAUCGAUCUAAAAGUUGUUGAGGAAGUAAGGGCUCAGAUACCUACAUUUUCUCAGAGACGUACAGAUUUGUACGACACUGUCUGUAAGAAGGAGUAACUCUACACUAAAACAGAAAAUGUUUUUUUUAUAAUAUUUCUACUACGAUAUCCUUUUUUUGUGAAUUAUUACUAAUUUCUUAUCAUUUGUACUAAAUGAAUGACUCAAUUAAGAAAACCAAAACGUUAUAAAUAAUAAUCUGUAUAUUUUGUGUAUCAACAUGUAAUUGGAUAUUAUAAUAAUAUAGGAAUGCUAUAAUAAUAUAGGAUAAUAAUAUAGGAGAAUA